AUUGAACGCUGGCGGCAGGCUUAACACAUGCAAGUCGAGCGGGGUGAUGGUGCUUGCACUAUCACUUAGCGGCGGACGGGUGAGUAAUGCUUAGGAAUAUGCCUAUUAGUGGGGGACAACAUUUCGAAAGGAAUGCUAAUACCGCAUACGUACUACGGGAGAAAGCAGGGGAUCUUCGGACCUUGCGCUAAUAGAUGAGCCUAGGUCGGAUUAGCUAGUUGGUGGGGUAAAGGCCUACCAAGGCGACGAUCUGUAGCGGGUCUGAGAGGAUGAUCCGCCACACUGGGACUGAGACACGGCCCAGACUCCUACGGGAGGCAGCAGUGGGGAAUAUUGGACAAUGGGCGGAAGCCUGAUCCAGCCAUGCCGCGUGUGUGAAGAAGGCCUUAUGGUUGUAAAGCACUUUAAGCGAGGAGGAGGCUACUUUAGUUAAUACCUAGAGAUAGUGGACGUUACUCGCAGAAUAAGCACCGGCUAACUCUGUGCCAGCCGCCGCGGUAAUAC
rnacentral:rRNA from 1 species